GGGCGCGUGGCCUAGUCAGGAUAUGGCGGCAGCCUCCUAAGCUGUAGGUCGGGGGUUCGAAUCCCUCCGCGCCCG
rnacentral:tRNA from 1 species